CCUACGGGGGGCAGCAGUGAGGAAUAUUGGUCAAUGGACGAGAGUCUGAACCAGCCAAGUAGCGUGAAGGAUGACUGCCCUGUGGGUUGUAAACUUCUUUUAUAUGGGAAUAAAAUGUUCCACGUGUGGGAUUUUGUAUGUACCAUAUGAAUAAGGAUCGGCUAACUCCGUGCCAGCAGCCGCGGUAAUACGGAGGAUCCGAGCGUUAUCCGGAUUUAUUGGGUUUAAAGGGAGCGUAGGUGGAUUGUUAAGUCAGUUGUGAAAGUUUGCGGCUCAACCGUAACAUUGCAGUUGAAACUGGCAGUCUUGAGUACAGUAGAGGUGGGCGGAAUUCGUGGUGUAGCGGUGAAAUGCUUAGAUAUCACGAAGAACUCCGAUUGCGAAGGCAGUUCACUGGACUGCAACUGACACUGAGGCUCGAAAGUGUGGGUAUCAAACAGGAUUAGAUACCCCUGUAGUC
rnacentral:rRNA from 1 species